rnacentral:rRNA from 1 species
UACCCGCGGCCCGAGUGGUGCUCAUUAUUAUUGAGCCUAAAGCGUCCGUAGCUGGCCGGACAAAUCUCCGGGUAAAUCGGGCGGCUCAACCGUCCGAAUUCCGGAGACACUGUUCGGCUUGAGAUCGGGAGAGGGAGAAGGUACUCCUGGGGUAGGGGUAAAAUCCUGUAAUCCGAGGGGGACCACCGGUGGCGAAGGCGUUCUCCUAGAACGAAUCUGACAGUGAGGGACGAAGCCCUAGGGCGCAAACGGG